rnacentral:rRNA from 1 species
GAUGAACGCUGGCGGCGUGCCUAACACAUGCAAGUCGAGCGAUUCUCUUCGGAGAAGAGCGGCGGACGGGUGAGUAACGCGUGGGUAACCUGCCCUGUACACACGGAUAACAUACCGAAAGGUAUGCUAAUACGGGAUAAUAUAUAAGAGUCGCAUGACUUUUAUAUCAAAGAUUUUUCGGUACAGGAUGGACCCGCGUCUGAUUAGCUUGUUGGCGGGGUAACGGCCCACCAAGGCGACGAUCAGUAGCCGACCUGAGAGGGUGAUCGGCCACAUUGGAACUGAGACACGGUCCAAACUCCUACGGGAGGCAGCAGUGGGGAAUAUUGCACAAUGGGCGCAAGCCUGAUGCAGCAACGCCGCGUGAGCGAUGAAGGCCUUCGGGUCGUAAAGCUCUGUCCUCAAGGAAGAUAAUGACG